rnacentral:misc_RNA from 1 species
GAUGAAGAACGCAGCGAAAUGCGAUAAGUAGUGUGAAUUGCAGAAUUCAGUGAAUCAUCGAAUCUUUGAACGCACAUUGCGCCCUUUGGUAUUCCAAAGGGCAUGCCUGUUCGAGCGUCAUUUGUACCCUCAAGCUUUGCUUGGUGUUGGGCGUCUUGUCUCUAGCUUUGCUGGAGACUCGCCUUAAAGUAAUUGGCAGCCGGCCUACUGGUUUCGGAGCGCAGCACAAGUCGCACUCUCUAUCAGCAAAGGUCUAGCACCCAUUAAGCCUUUUUUUCAACUUUUGACCUCGGAUCAGGUAGGGAUACCCGCUGAACUUAAGCAUAUCAAUAAGCGGAGGA